AAGCUUAUCCUCUCCUACCGACACCGAGCCCCUUCUCCCCACACCGGCGCUCACCUGGCGACGGAGACGGUCCACGGCGUGACGAGCUGCUCCUCAGUAGCGCAAUCCUCGCCGUACACAUCCUCGACGCCGCCGCCGACGGUCGGACUCGCGUUGACAUCCAGCACCGAGGAUACCUCGCCUCUGAUCUCCUUCAGCGUGCUCUCCAUUCGCGCUCUGUUCACUCUCCCGCUGCUGCAGCACCGCACCGCCGCCGCCGCCGAUCGCCGGAAGAGACUAGUCUUG
rnacentral:misc_RNA from 1 species